rnacentral:rRNA from 1 species
ACGGCCAUACCAUGCUGAGUAUUCCGGUUCUCGCUAGAUCGCCGAAAUCAAGAAACAUUGGGCCGGUCAUUACUUGGGUGGGUGACCACCUCAAAACACCGCGUGCCGUU